CUUUAGUUGACGAGUCCCAAAUAGGACGAAACGUUCGUUCUGGAG
rfam:Schistosoma haematobium scaffold661_5, whole genome shotgun sequence.